AAAGAAUUGUAAUGAUGGUCGAUGCGAUGUUCACCGAUGCGCAUGGAAUUUAGACGUAAUGUGUAUGAAUGACAACUCUUCGCCGCCUGCCACAUCUCGUUCAUCAAAGACUUUUCCUGCGUGUGAUGUGUGAUAAUUUUGGUAUACAGAUUCUCUACUCGUGCUAGUCCGUCUUUAGCAGGAAAAGUUUGCUCAUCCCCUCCAAGUCUUCAAGAUUAGGAAGUGCGCAAUUCCAUAAGGUGUUCCCGAGGCCAGAUCAUCGAAAAAUUUUGUCGGCAUAGCUGCAUGUAUUACAAAAAGACAGUUUGUUUACUGGACUACUUAUAGCUCGGCUGUGGUAUGGAGGUUAAUGAACGAUCGAUCAUCAAAUCAACCGAAGUAGGAAGGAUCAGCUGGAUUAUCGGAAUGACCAUGAAGAGGCCGGGAAAUUAGUACAGCUUUAAUUUGAUAAGAAGAACAGACCAAACUUUAUCAUGUAUGAGACGUCGACUUCAGCGCAUGAGCGCAAAUCAAUCACACAACCGCGCCAUUGAAUGGACGUAUAAUCACAGAGAACAGACGUCCAACUCCAGUUUUGAAGUUGUAUAAAAUCGAAGACAUUUUCGAAUGUAGUUGAUAUAUCAUCACCAGGUGUGCUAGUAUCGUCAUUUCGUUUGGUAGCCGAGUUCGACUGGAUUUACAGGUUUACAUGGAACUUUCAAAAUGGCCGACAUUAUUACACCUCCACCCAGCCAAACCAUUCCGGAACCGAUUGAGUCGGAAUCGGUUGUUUCCUUUCCUUUGGAAUUUGUGAAAUGGCCUCCAAAGUAGUUAAAUUUUUCUUUCAAACACAAAUGUUUUAUUUAUUAACAAGUUAUAGGUUCGA